rnacentral:misc_RNA from 1 species
CGCAGCCGCGGUAAUUCCAGCUCCAAUAGCGUAUAUUAAAGUUGUUGCAGUUAAAAAGCUCGUAGUUGAAUUUCGGGAUCAAUACGUCGGUCGUGCUUCGGUACGUACUGGCGUCAUUGGUUUCUCCCUUCUGACGAACCAUGAUGUCAUUAAUUUGGUGUUAUGGGAAAU